rnacentral:lncRNA from 1 species
GUUAAAUAUAUUUUUAAUUCAAUAUAUUUUCUUACGAAACGAUUAAAAAAAUUAAAAUAUAUUUUAGAUUAUUUAUAUUUUAUAAAUUUAAAAAAUAUAUUUAAUUACUAAAAAUAUCAAAAUACAUACCCUUCACCGGCAUAAAUAAUUAAGCAUGUACAAAAUGAGCGUGCACAAUAUAAUCACAAAUAACAUGCUAUAAAUUUCUUCUAGUCGGAAAAAAGAGAGAAAAUGGCACGUAUUUGGAUUCUCUACAAUCGAGUUUCCUAAGUUCACCUAUAUUUAGGCAAGCGUUAAUUAAAAAGGAGAAAUUAUUGCAUGUUUUAUUGCAUUUAUGUAUCCUGUAGGAAAUUUGAAUAAAUAGUAUAUCUAUUUUAAUAACAUUGAUUAGGAAAUUUUUUUGGUUAUUUGGUUUGACAUUUUUUUAGUUUGUUGCAGGUGCAUGCUAGCUAGUGUUGAGCCCUGGGAGUGUCACUGUUCAUCUGGCCAUGUAGAUUUAUUUAUUAUACGUAUGAGACUAAAAUACUUAGGUUAUCUUUGUGUCUAUUAUGACCAAAGAGAUGAACCAUUUGAUUUUGUAAUUUGUGUGAUUAUGUUGUUUCCCGUUGGCUUUAGUUUGACGUAAUUAAGAACAUAUCUCUGUUAUUUGUCAUUUAUGUUGAAGUUUAAUUUGGCACGCAUUAAUUAUGCAUUAUUUUGGAUAAUAUUUUGG